rnacentral:rRNA from 1 species
UACGUAGGUGGCAAGCGUUGUCCGGAUUUAUUGGGUUUAAAGGGUGCGUAGGCGGUCUUCUAAGUCAGUUGUGAAAUACUUCAGCUUAACUGGAGGGGUGCAAUUGAUACUGGAAGACUUGAGUACUGAUGAGGUUGGCGGAAUGGACGGUGUAGCGGUGAAAUGCUUAGAUAUCGUCCAGAACACCGAUAGCGAAGGCAGCUUACUAAGGAGUAACUGACGCUGAGGCACGAAAGUGUGGGGAUCAAACAGG